rnacentral:rRNA from 1 species
UACAGAGGGUGCGAGCGUUAAUCGGAAUUACUGGGCGUAAAGCGUGCGCAGGCGGUUGUGCAAGACAGAUGUGAAAUCCCCGGGCUUAACCUGGGAACUGCGUUUGAAACUACAAGGCUAGAGUGUGACAGAGGGGGGUGGAAUUCCACGUGUAGCAGUGAAAUGCGUAGAGAUGUGGAGGAACACCGAUGGCGAAGGCAGCCCCCCUGGGUUAACACUGACGCUCAGGCACGAAAGCGUGGGGAGCAAACAGG